rnacentral:rRNA from 1 species
CCUACGGGAUGCAGCAGUGAUGAAUAUUGGUCAAUGGACGAGAGUCUGAACCAGCCAAGUAGCGUGAAGGAUGACUGCCCUAUGGGUUGUAAACUUCUUUUAUAUGGGAAUAAAACGUUCCACGUGUGGGAUUUUGUAUGUACCAUAUGAAUAAGGAUCGGCUAACUCCGUUCCAGCAGCCGCGGUAAUACGGAGGAUCCGAGCGUUAUCCGGAUUUAUUGGGUUUAAGGGGAGCGUAGGUGGAUUGUUAAGUCAGUUGUGAAAGUUUGCGGCUCAACCGUAAAAUUGCAGUUGAAACUGGCAGUCUUGAGUACAGUUGAGGUAGGCGGAAUUCGUGGUGUAGCGGUGAAAGGCUUAGAUAUCACGAAGAACUCCGAUUGCGAAGGCAGCCUACUAAACUGCCACUGACAUUGAUGCUCGAAAGUGUGGGUAUCAAACAGGAUUAGAUACCCCUGUAGUC